UAAAACGUAGGACACAAGCGUUAUCCGGAGUUACUGGGCGUAAAGGGCGUUUAGGCGGGUGAUUAAGUUCGCUAUGAAAGCGCCAGGCUAAACCUGGCGAGGCUGGCGGAUACUGGUCAUCUGGAGUGAGUCAGAGGAAGGUAGAAUUCCGCGUGUAGUGGUGAAAUGCGUAGAGAUGCGGAGGAAUACCAGUGGCGAAGGCGGCCUUCUGGGACUCAACUGACGCUGAAGCGCGAAAGCAUGGGGAGCGAACGGGAUUAGAAACCCCGGUAGUCCAUGCCGUAAACGAUGUGCACUAAACGUUCGAUUUCCGCGAGGGAAUCGGGUGUUGAAGCUAACGCGGUAAGUGCACCGCCUGGGGAGUACGGUCGCAAGGCUA
rnacentral:rRNA from 1 species